UUCUUCCUGAGUCAGGUUCCGAGCGAGAUGGGGUCGCGAUGCAGACAAUGCUGGGCGCGGCGGCGGCGAUCUCCAGCCAGAUCCGAUCGAGGAGUCGAGGCAGGGGCUGGAUCCUGUUCAGGGGAUGGCGUGGAGGCGAUCUACAAAUCGCGGGAGGAGGUCAGGCGACGGGGCUUCAACUCCAAGUUCAUGGCGGCGGCGUUCCUCCCCGGUUCCGACCAAGAUGGGGAGCUCCGGCGGAGUCUCUCCAUGGAUAAGGUGGCGCUGCACCUGUGAGAGACAGAGGGAAGGAGAGGGCACGAGAAGCAGCGGGGAAGUUCUGGUGGUGCCCGUCGCCUGCAACAGCUCUCUUGAGUACGUCCAAAGAGAGAUGAGAGAGAGCCGGGAGGAAGAAGGAAAGGAAGGAGACUUCAGGAAGGGGUAGCGGGAUCCUGCAGGGCUGGGUUGGAGCCCCGUGGUAGCUUGCUCUGAUGGUGCUACUACUGUUGUUGGACGGCAGCCGAUGGGACAAGGCCUAGGUAAGAGGAAAAACAUGUGUUGCAUCGACACAUUUGAUGCAGAGCGGCCACUGUAAGUUCCUCUCCCUUCUCUAAUUAGUAUUGAGAUUCCAUUGAUAUUUGAUGGAGAGCAGCCACCAAAAGUUCCUCUUUUGAUGCACCGAAAACAGCUCUCUCUCUCUCUCUCUCUAAUUUAUUCUCAGCUAUAGAAUGACGUGUAUCUAUGCUACUUGCUAAUGUGAUGGAUAAUGCAUGUGGAUUGAUUCAUGAAUUAGCAAAAUAUUUCAUGUGAGAUGUGCUAGAGAACGGUUUUGAUCUAAUUGAAUAAUACGAAGUAUUUUAGUUCUGAUGGUAAUAGACGAGCAACUUCAGUUGUAUUUGAUUUCAGUUUUUGUUUUUCAGUAUAUGUUGGUCAAGAUUCAACUUUGUUUAUGUCCAUGUUUUGCUGGUAUAAUGCAUCAUCAAGCUUUCUUUUUAUAUGAUGAUACUGUGUAAAUCAGCAUAUGGAUGUGCAAAAUAUUCUUAGGGGCAUUAGCCUAGACAAGGAUGUUGAUGGUUUACAUCCCUUAAACAUUGGUAAUGUUGCCCUCAGAAGCUGGAAACCUGUGAUUGUUUCUUGUGCUACAAUAUGGAUUUAUCUCAUGGAAAGCACGUGUGGUGAAAGAAAGUCAUUAGCCAAUCCUACAAUGUUUUGGUUUAUUUUUCGGAUAGUCCUUUUUGACUGAUUAAUCAUGUGUGACGUUUCAUGCAGUGAUCUGUCCUAACCAGGAAGACAAUGCUGAGGGUGGCGGAUGUUUGCUAUGAGGUGGUGUAUGUACGUGUUGCACCUCAUGGCCGUGCCAUGCUUCCUGCAAGCCAAUUUACUGCUUCUUCCGAGGUCAUAUAGUGAUGAAAUGGCACCGAGAAUCUAAAGGUUAGUAAUUCUAUUCUAUUCUUCUCUAUUAAGAACAAUAUUAUUUUUCAUGAUUUAGUGACUGCUAAGUGCUAAUAAAUUAAUUCAAUCAUAUUGGGCCAUUUGUUAUAGAGCUAAACGAACCAUCUGAAGUGGGAUGCAUUGCAUUUUCCCAACAGAAUUUACAGUAGCACCAAGAAGGGUUGCGUCCAUCAUCCUCAUCAUGUCCGAUCUAGGCCGCCAGAGCACCAAGUCGCUAGCCUAUUCUAACAAGUCUAGGCCCUCGAGGCAUCCCUUCUGGCCGUGGAAGGAGACCCCGAUCUGUAGGAGCGACGAGUAUGGUCCCGUAAUUAAUAACAAGACUCUCCUCUAUCCAUCUGCAUAACUCCCAUGAAGAAAAAUCUCUAAACUCCAGUAACCACCUUUAUGUCGAUCUAAGCGGUGGAGAGUUUGGUAUGGUGGCAAAUCAAGCAACUGCAGAUGGAGUCAUUCCAUGUUACUGCAUUGAGUUAGCAUACAUGGCAUGGAUGAUAGAUCAAACCCAAGUGAUUUGGAUUCUCAUGCUGGCACCUUCUCACAGUCGUGAACAUCCGUGAGUGAAUUUGGUUAUAUAGAACAAAAUCUAAGAGUUGACCAAAUGAAAUUGGUAUUUUCUUGAACUGAACGACACACAUCUAUCCCUAAUAAUAAAGCAUGGAUUGACUCCGUGGGUUCACUGUCACAAUACGUUUUCUUCCUGUAAAUUUACGCUUUCAUCAAUUUAUAAAAUAUAUAAACAAGGUGGUACUAAUUCGGGGAACCACGUCGUGUGCAUCAAACAAUCCAAACAAUACCUGCCACUGCGCUUCGGCCCAGUAAAUCAGGCCCACAUGCCUGUUUGCAGCCCAACAAAUAAUGGCGCAACCACCAGAGCUAGCUCUCCCUCUCCUCCCGAUCUCAGCCGCCACGAGGCGACCGACCCCGGCGACGCUCGAUCUGGUGCUGCACCGGCCGCCGGUCGACGCCGGCGAGGAUUUGUGCCCUCUCCCGACCCACGUCUCUCUCUCUCGCAAAAUAGGAUUGGGCGCCGCCGCCGUUUUCCUGGUUGAAGGCGGCCAGCGCGCCGCACGGGAGGCCUUUGUCGAGCGAAGCCCUGGAUCACGGCGUUCCCGCGGAGGGACAGGGCAGCGGAUUCAAGGAUGGGCGCGACAGGCGGAGCUCUAUCCUCCUUUGUCCUGUCCCAUCGAGCGCUGGAUCGAAGAAGCAUCAGCUCCCCCCACCUCCAUCCCGUCUCCUCUCCUACAUCGGCCACACCACGCCACGCUCGUGGAGCGGAGUCGCAGAAGCACGACGCCGACUGUGGCGGAGUGAGGAGAGCUCGUCCGGUCAUCUUGUCACUCCAAGGCAGGAUCAGGCCCAACCUCCACGCCACCAGCUCCACCCCAUAUCUCUUGCCUUUCAGGUCAGUUUCAGGUCCGCUUAAAAGUUUCAGGUUAGCUCAUCUAAAAGCAGUUUCAGGUUAGUCCGCAUAAUUUAGUUACAAGUGUUAUUUGGUUGACUGUCGUUGUUACUUAUCCUAUCUGAAUCUAAAGGUUCCAUGUUUCUGACAAAACAAUGGCUGAUUUGCUAGAUGUAGAGCGCAAGCUAAAUGAUACAGGCCCUGCUGUGAAAACCAACGGGUCUCUUCUUUUACAAGCUUUUGCUACAGUUGAAUUACUCAAUAUGUGUGUGUGUUUUAUAUCAUCUGGUGAUCAAGUUUUAAUGUAUCUUGAUGAAAUGUAGACCUUUGUAACAUAUUUGCACCUUUGGAGUAACAUAUGAUGUCCUUUAUCAGUAUGGCUGAUCCUUCACCCUUAUUUCCUCUACUUGUUGAUAUGUGUCUGCUGGAACAAGCUGGUUCAAUGGUGCCUUCAGCAAAGUCGCCGAGGCUGGUCAUGUUGCCGGCUCAAGAACAACAGAAAAGUCCCAGAUAGUUGUGUCAAAUAUAUCAACCAAAGGACCUGCUGUCGUUGCUUGAGCUUGUUGAGUUUGUUCUGGGAGCUCCUCUUCCUGGGGAAAAUCUGUUGGAAACCUUGAGCAAGCAUCUAAUGUUGGCUGUGUCAUCAAGCUUUGGCUUGUAACUGUGUAUUUCUCUCCUUCUCAUCUUCUUCUUUGAGGAGGUUUAUUUUCAGGGAGUCUUGACAGAUUUGGUAGAGGAUCUAAAUUUUCUUUAGAAUUUUAGAACCACUACCCUUUUUAGUGUCGGUGUUCAGUUGAUUAUAGAUGAUAGUGACAUUUUGGACCAUGGUCCUGGUUCGGUGUGGUUUCAUGAUUGUCAUACAAUACACUAAAUUUUCUGAGUAUUGCACAAGCCUGAGUAAAUAUGGGUUGAGGUAA